rnacentral:rRNA from 1 species
GACAAACGCGGGCGGCGUGCUUAACACAUGCAAGUCGAACGGAAAGGCCCUGCUUUUCUGGGGUGCUCGGGUGGCGAACGGGUGAGGAGCACGUGAGUAACCUGCCCUUGACGUUGGGAUAACUUCAGGAAACUUGGGCUAAUACCGGAUAGGUGCUCCUCCUGCAUGGUGGGGGUGGGAAAGUUUCGGCCGUUGGGGAUGGACUCGCGGGUUAUCAGCUUGUUGGUGGGGUAGUUGCCUACCAAGGCUUUGACGGGUAGCCGGCCUGAGAGGGUGACAGGCCACAUUGGGACUGGGGUGAGGGCCAGAGUGCUACGCCAGGGAGGAGUGGGGAAUAUUGCCCGAUGGGCGGAAGCCUGAUGUAGUAACCCCGCGCGCGGGAUGACGGCCUUCGGGUUGUAAACCGCUUUCCCCUGUGACGAAGCGUGAGUGACGGUAAUGGGUAAAGAAGCACCGGCUAACUACGUG